rnacentral:rRNA from 1 species
GACGAACGCUGGCGGCGUGCUUAACACAUGCAAGUCGAACGGAAAGGCCCUGCUUUUGUGGGGUGCUCGAGUGGCGAACGGGUGAGUAACACGUGAGUAACCUGCCCUUGACUUUGGGAUAACUUCAGGAAACUGGGGCUAAUACCGGAUAGGAGCUCCUGCUGCAUGGUGGGGGUUGGAAAGUUUCGGCGGUUGGGGAUGGACUCGCGGCUUAUCAGCUUGUUGGUGGGGUAGUGGCUUACCAAGGCUUUGACGGGUAGCCGGCCUGAGAGGGUGACCGGCAACAUUGGGACGGAGAGACGGCCCAGACUCCUACGGGAGGCAGCAGUGGGGAAUAUUGCACAAUGGGCGGAAGCCUAAUGCAGCAACGCCGCGUGCUGGAUGACGGCCUUCGGGUUGUAAAACGCUUUCGCCUGUGACGAAGCGUGAGUGACGGUAAUGGGUAAAGAAGCACCGGCUAACUACGUG